UCAGUACACCAGCCUACACUAGGUAACACACCCCGUACCCCAUUCAGUACACCAGCCUGCACUAGGUAACACACCCCGUACCCCAUUCAGUACACCAGCCUACACUAGGUAACACACCCCAUUCAGUACACCAGCCUACACUAGGUAACACACCCCGUACCCCAUUCAGUACACCAGCCUGCACUAGGUAACACACCCCGUACCCCAUUCAGUACACCAGCCUACACUAGGUAACACACCCCGUACCCCAUUCAGUACACCAGCCUGCACUAGGUAACACACCCCGUACCCCAUUCAGUACACCAGCCUACACUAGGUAACACACCCCGUACCCCAUUCAGUACACCAGCCUGCACUAGGUAACACACCCCGUACCCCAUUCAGUACACCAGCCUACACUAGGUAACACACCCCGUACCCCAUUCAGUACACCAGCCUGCACUAGGUAACACACCCCGUACCCCAUUCAGUACACCAGCCUACACUAGGUAACACACCCCGUACCCCAUUCAGUACACCAGCCUGCACUAGGUAACACACCCCGUACCCCAUUCAGUACACCAGCCUACACUAGGUAACACACCCCGUACCCCAUUCAGUACACCAGCCUGCACUAGGUAACACACCCCGUACCCCAUUCAGUACACCAGCCUACACUAGGUAACACACCCCGUACCCCAUUCAGUACACCAGCCUGCACUAGGUAACACACCCCGUACCCCAUUCAGUACACCAGCCUACACUAGGUAACACACCCCGUACCCCAUUCAGUACACCAGCCUGCACUAGGUAACACACCCCGUACCCCAUUCAGUACACCAGCCUACACUAGGUAACACACCCCGUACCCCAUUCAGUACACCAGCCUGCACUAGGUAACACACCCCGUACCCCAUUCAGUACACCAGCCUACACUAGGUAACACACCCCGUACCCCAUUCAGUACACCAGCCUGCACUAGGUAACACACCCCGUACCCCAUUCAGUACACCAGCCUACACUAGGUAACACACCCCAUUCAGUACACCAGCCUACACUAGGUAACACACCCCAUUCAGUACACCAGCCUACACUAGGUAACACACCUCGUACCCCAUUCAGUACACCAGCCUGCACUAAGUAACACACACUGUACCACGUUGUAUGUUUAUACACACACAGCAUAGAAACGGAUA